rnacentral:rRNA from 1 species
GACGAACGCUGGCGGCGUGCUUAACACAUGCAAGUCGAACGGAAAGGCCCUGCUUUUGUGGGGUGCUCGAGUGGCGAACGGGGGAGUAACACGGGAGUAACCUGCCCUUGACUUUGGGAUAACUUCAGGAAACUGGGGCUAAUACCGGAUAGGAGCUCCUGCUGCAUGGGGGGGGUUGGAAAGUUUCGGCGGUUGGGGAUGGACUCGCGGCUUAUCAGCUUGUUGGUGGGGUAGUGGCUUACCAAGGCUUUGACGGGUAGCCGGCCUGAGAGGGUGACCGGCCACAUUGGGACUGAGAUACGGCCCAGACUCCUACGGGAGGCAGCAGUGGGGAAUAUUGCACAAUGGGCGGAAGCCUGAUGCAGCAACGCCGCGUGCGGGAUGACGGCCUUCGGGUUGUAAACCGCUUUCGCCUGUGACGAAGCGUGAGUGACGGUAAUGGGUAAAGAAGCACCGGCUAACUACGUG